GAUGAACGCUGGCGGCGUGCCUAAUACAUGCAAGUCGAGCGAACAGACGAGGAGCUUGCUCCUCUGACGUUAGCGGCGGACGGGUGAGUAACACGUGGAUAACCUACCUAUAAGACUGGGAUAACUUCGGGAAACCGGAGCUAAUACCGGAUAAUAUAUUGAACCGCAUGGUUCAAUAGUGAAAGACGGUUUUGCUGUCACUUAUAGAUGGAUCCGCGCCGCAUUAGCUAGUUGGUAAGGUAACGGCUUACCAAGGCAACGAUGCGUAGCCGACCUGAGAGGGUGAUCGGGCACACUGGAACUGAGACACGGUCCAGACUCCUACGGGAGGCAGCAGUAGGGAAUCUUACGCAAUGGGCGAAAGCCUGACGGAGCAACGCCGCGUGAGUGAUGAAGGUCUUCGGAUCGUAAAACUCUGUUAUUAGGGAAGAACAAAUGUGUAAGUAACUAUGCACGUCUUGACGGUACCUAAUCAGAAAGCCACGGCUAACUACGUG
rnacentral:rRNA from 1 species